GCCGUAUAAAGAUGUAUUAGAUGCAAGACAAUCUAGCAUUUCCCUUUACGGCAUUGUAGUAAAAUUAGAAGUUCAAGCAAAAGAAAUUGUUGCCUGGUUAAUAAUCGAAACAAUUUGAGUUUGAAUGGAAGAGGUUAACCGUAUGACCUUGUGUUGAAAAACACUAAAAAUAAUCUUUAAAUAGCGAUUUCUGAAUCUUCGCUAUUUUGAGUUACGGUCAU
rnacentral:ncRNA from 1 species